AAUUUCCCCAUGCGGUAACAUGUUACCAUACCAUUGCUUUCCAUUCCAACUGCUUAAAAAAGUCUUUCAUAUUUAUUAUGAAGAAUAUUUCUCCCUUUUGUUCAAGCAGAACAUUCAGAGACCAUUGACGUUUCCCAUCGUACAGUAAGAAAGAAUUUAAUGAACUCUUGUGCAUCGGUCGCACAGGUUUUCACUCGGUCCCCUGCGCCGUCCAUCCCACGCUGGCGAGAGAACCCGAGCUCUGAGUUGCUGCAGUUCGACUCAAACUAAGGCACUUUAACCAAAGCAAAACCUCAAGAUCCACGUUGUUCCCCACCCCAUCAGAUUACAAAUAUGAGAAGGAUGGCAAACCAUGGCGCUGUGUUAGAGCUAAAUGAGUUUCCAGGACACACAUUCUCCACUGCAGCAGGGCAUGCCAGUCCUGGCAGAAGAGUUACCACUGCCAUCACAAAUAGCCAGUACCUUUCCCACCCAGGAAGUAAAGCUUGAAGAAUUACAAGGAAAGAGGUAGAAGAAAGGUUUUUAUUUUGCACUGCCAUUCCAUCAGCAUUUGAAACAGGCG